rnacentral:rRNA from 1 species
UACAGAGGUCUCAAGCGUUGUUCGGAUUCACUGGGCGUAAAGGGUGCGCAGGCGGCCAAGUGUGUUAGGUGUGAAAGCCCGGGGCUUAACCCCGGAAUUGCACCUAAAACUACAUGGCUAGAGCAUUGGAGAGGGGAGCAGAAUUCACGGUGUGGCAGUGAAAUGCGUAGAUAUCGUGAGGAAUACCAGAGGCGAAGGCGGCUCCCUGGACAAUUGCUGACGCUCAGGCACGAAAGCGUGGGGAGCAAAAGGG